UGGUCAAGCUACUAAGGGCAGACGGUGGAUGCCUUGGCGCCAAGAGGCGAAGAAAGACGUGGAAGGCUGCGAUAAGCUCCGGGGAGCCGCCUAACAGGCUUUGAUCCGAAGAUUUCUGAAUGGGGAAACCCAUCCCGGGUAGUGUCGGGAUAUCCGUAACUGAAUACAUAGGUUGCGGAGGCUAACGAGGAGAACUGAAACAUCUCAGUACCCUCAGGAAAAGAAAACAAUUGUGAUUCCCCAAGUAGCGGCGAGCGAACGGGGAAGAGCCCAAACCAGGUACGUGUCAAGCCCGAAAGCGUUGCGUAUCCGGUGUCGAGGGACCAAUCGGACGGAGUUUCGGAUCCGUCGGGAAGUCAAAAAUCCGUUACCUAGCUGAAGCAUUGAAAAUGAUGCACCAUAGAAGGUGACAGUCCUGUAAGCGAAAGGUAUACGGACUUCCUGGGUUGUGUUCCCAAGUACCACGGCUCACGUGGAAUCCCGUGGGAAUUUAGGAGGACCAUCUCCUAAGGCUAAAUACUCCUUGGCGACCGAUAGUGAACUAGUACCGUGAGGGAAAGGUGAAAAGAACCCCUUCGAGGGGAGUGAAAUAGAACCUGAAACCGUCUGCUUACAAUCUGUGGGAGGGUUAUGGUAUUUUUAAGGGCGACCUUCAAAAUACCGGCCUGACCGCGUGCCUUUUGCAUAAUGAGUCAGCGAGUUACUCUGUGUGGCAAGGUUAAGCCGUUAGGCGGAGCCGUAGCGAAAGCGAGUCUGAAAUGGGCGAAUAGUCGCAUGGAGUAGACCCGAAGCCAGGUGAUCUAUCUAUGGGCAGGGUGAAGCGCGAGUAAAAUCGCGUGGAGGCCCGAACCAAUGUGGGUUGAAAACCGCUUGGAUGACCUGUGGAUAGGGGUGAAAGACCAAUCAAACCUGGAAAUUGCUGGUUCUCCCCGAAAUAUAUUUAGGUAUAGCCUCGGUGAUUAAGUAACGGGGGUAGAGCACUGGAUGGGCUAGGGGUCCUACCAGAUUACCAAACCUAACCAAACUCCGAAUACCGUUAACUUUUACUCCGGGAGUCAGACUGCGGGGGAUAAGCUCCGUAGUCGAGAGGGAAAUAGCCCAGAUCGCCAGCUAAGGUCCCUAAGUGCGUGCUAAGUGGUUAAGGAUGUGGAAACGCGUAGACAACCAGGCGGUUGGCUUAGAAGCAGCCAUCCUUUAAAGAAAGCGUAAUAGCUCACUGGUCAAGUGGGUUUGCGCCGAAAAUGUAUCGGGGCUCAAGCACGCCACCGAAGCUGCGGGAUUCACUUUCGAGUGAAUCGGUAGGGGAGCAUUCUGUACAGUCAAGGGUGACCGUAAGGACAUCUGGUUUGUACAGAAGAGACCAUGCUGACAUGAGUAGCGAAAAAACGGGUGAAAAACCCGUUCGCCGUAAACCCAAGGUUUCCUGGGUAAAGUUAAUCUUCCCAGGGUUAGUCGAUCCCUAAGCCGAGGCCGAAAGGCGUAGGUGAUGGAAAACAGGUUAAUAUUCCUGUACCACCGGGAUAUCGUUUGUACGAAGGGGGGACGCAGGAGGGUAGGCCAGCCGGCGGAUGGAAGUGCCGGUUCAAGCCCGUAGGCUGAGAAGGCAGGCAAAUCCACUUUCUCACUAGGCCGAGAGGCGAGCUACCAGAGACUUUGUCUCAUAAAGUGGCUAAUCCCAUGCUGCCAAGAAAAACCUCUAAGGAGAUGUCCAGGUGAUCGUACCGCAAACCGACUCAGGUGGGUGGGGAGAGCAUCCCAAGGCGCUUGAGAGAAUCCUGGUUAAGGAACUCGGCAAAAUGACACCGUAACUUCGGGAUAAGGUGUGCCCUCAUUAGGUGAAGAAAUUUACUUUCCUAGCCAAAGGGGGUCGCAGAGAAACGGCGGUAGCGACUGUUUACUAAAAACAUAGGACUCUGCAAAGUCGCAAGACGACGUAUAGGGUCUGACGCCUGCCCGGUGCUGGAAGGUUAAGGGGACGGGUUAUCUUCGGAGAAGCUCGGAACCGAAGCCCCAGUAAACGGCGGCCGUAACUAUAACGGUCCUAAGGUAGCGAAAUUCCUUGUCGGGUAAGUUCCGACCUGCACGAAUGGCGUAACGACUUCCGCACUGUCUCAACCAGGAACUCAGCGAAAUUGUAAUGACGGUGAAGAUGCCGUCUACCCGCGAAUAGACGGAAAGACCCCGGCACCUUUACUAUAGCUUGACAUUGGGUUUUGAAACUGCAUGUGUAGGAUAGGUGGGAGGCUUUGAAGCUGGGACGCCAGUCUCGGUGGAGCCAACCUUGAAAUACCACCCUUGUUGUUUUAGAGCUCUAACCUCGAUCCCGUAAGCCGGGCGAGGGACAGUGUCUGGUGGGUAGUUUGACUGGGGCGGUCGCCUCCUGAAGAGUAACGGAGGCGCGCGAAGGUUCCCUCAGGCUGAUUGGAAACCAGCCGUAGAGUGUAAAGGCAUAAGGGAGCUUGACUGCGAGAGAGACAUUUCGAGCAGGUACGAAAGUAGGUCUUAGUGAUCCGGCGGUUCUGAAUGGAAGGGCCGUCGCUCAUCGGCUAAAAGGUACGCCGGGGAUAACAGGCUGAUCGCAUCCAAGAGUUCACAUCGACGAUGCGGUUUGGCACCUCGAUGUCGGCUCAUCACAUCCUGGGGCUGGAGAAGGUCCCAAGGGUUCGGCUGUUCGCCGAUUAAAGUGGUACGUGAGCUGGGUUUAAAACGUCGUGAGACAGUUUGGUCCCUAUCUUUCGUGGGCGGAGGAUAUUUGAGAGGAUCUGUUCCUAGUACGAGAGGACCGGAACGGACGAACCCCUGGUGAUCCUGUUAUCGUGCCAACGGUAUAGCAGGGUAGCUAUGUUCGGAAAGGAUAACCGCUGAAACCAUCUAAGCGGGAAACCAGCCUCAAGAUUAGAUAUCCCUUUCAUGCUUCGCAAGGAGCAUGGACUAAAGACCCCUUGUAGACUACAAGGUUGAUAGGCCGGAUGUGUACGCCCAGUAAUGGGUUCAGCUUACCGGUACUAAUCGGUCGUGAGGCUUGACCACAUUUC
rnacentral:rRNA from 1 species